ACUGCUUCUUGGCCUUCUGGAUGCGACCAGCUACAGUAUCUGUGUUUACCAGCCUACCUCCUGAAACAUCCGCUAUCUGAGGACAAUCGUUUAAGAGGAUUUUUGGAGCAGGAAGGUAGACUAGGAGCUUGUUUGACCCACAUGCCGCACAUAAUUCUGGUAUUAUAGUACCUUGAAAAAUAGUAUACCCCCU
ensembl:snRNA Gm22073 U2 spliceosomal RNA